rnacentral:rRNA from 1 species
GACGAACGCUGGCGGCGUGCUUAACACAUGCAAGUCGAACGGAAAGGCCCUGCUUUUGCGGGGUGCUCGAGUGGCGAACGGGUGAGUAACACGUGAGUAACCUGCCCUUGACUUUGGGAUAACUUCAGGAAACUGGGGCUAAUACCGGAUAGGAGCUCCUGCUGCAUGGUGGGGGUUGGAAAGUUUCGGCGGUUGGGGAUGGACUCGCGGCUUAUCAGCUUGUUGGUGGGGUAGUGGCUUACCAAGGCUUUGACGGGUAGCCGGCCUGAGAGGGUGACCGGCCACAUUGGGACUGAGAUACGGCCCAGACUCCUACGGGAGGCAGCAGUGGGGAAUAUUGCACAAUGGGCGGAAGCCUGAUGCAGCAACGCCGCGUGCGGGAUGACGGCCUUCGGGUUGUAAACCGCUUUCGCCUGUGACGAAGCGUGAGUGGCGGUAAUGGGUAAAGAAGCACCGGCUAACUACGUG